GAGAGGGGAAGGCCGCGGACUCCGGACGGUUUCCCGGAGAGGAUGGGGGAGGGGAGUUGCUCCUCGUUCCGGGCCACACCCCUCCCCCUCCCGUGUGGGGAGCGCAGUUGAGAGCGGGGGCUCCCUCUCCGGGUACCACGCGGAGGCCUGUGCAAAUCUGGUGGCCCUGCCGCUGGGUCCAGUAUUGGGGGUGCGGAGGAGGCGCUGGACCAUCUUUCUCGAAGCCAAAGGAGCCCCCACUUGGGGAGCUGAGGCCACGGGGAGACGCUCCGGGAGGAGGGCGGAUCCCUUUGGAGACCACGGACACUGGAACACGAUGACCACGGUGACGCCAGCUCCUUUCCUAGUUCCCUAAGGAGGCUUGGGCCACGGCCUCUGCUGAUUGGUCACAAUCCAGAAGAGUGGUUCUCAACCUGGCUGCCCACUCAGAUCACCUGGUGAGCUUUAAAAACUCCCAGCGCCUUCUCCCAGGACAGUGAAAUCCACAGUGCCAAAGGAUCUUAGUUCCCCGACCAGGGAUUGAAUCCCUGUUCCCCUUGCAGUUGAAGCAUGCCUUCCUAACCACUGGACCACCAGGGAAUUCCUGUGGACUUCUUAAUGAUGGCCAUUCUGACUGAAGAACUUGGCCCACACCCUAGAAUGCAGGCCUCUGGAGAGAGGGAGGUGCUCUGAGAAGCAAGCUACAAUGCGGGGCAGGUCCUGGGGCACAGCUGCCUGGCUCCACACCCAGGACACAGGGAAGGCAUGGCGGGUUGUACUGGGAAGAAGGAGAGAAGGUCUGCUCACCUAAGGAUGCCACAGCCCCGAAAGGAGCACCUUCCAGAACAAAGUGGACAAAAAGAAGUCGUCUCCGAGGCCGACUCCAAACCGGAACGAUUUCUACAGCCGGCCCGUCCUGCUGCCAUCUGAGGGCUGACGCAGGGACCCCGAUGGAGCCGGCACAGGCCUGGGCUGUGGAGUGAGUCUGUGUCGGGUGUGUGUGCAGGGGAGACUGUGUUGGGGGCUCUUCGGGCAGCUGGAUGUGCGAGAUGACCGACUGUGGAGAGGAGAGGGGCUCGUGGUGGAAGGCCUACUUGUGUGCUUGGUGCGCGAAGGGCUCUGCUCUGCUCGCUCUGCCGCCUCAGCAGCUACAGCUCUCUGCCGAGGCCUUGGCCCGGUCGUUCUUGUCCAGUUUGAUGGGCUCGGGGAAUUCAUUGUACAGCUCCACCUCCGUUUCCUGGGCAGGGGGAGAGAGACAGGCUGGUUAGUCCAGGCUCGGGGAGACUCCCGAGCUCAGCCCGGGCAGAUGGGGGCAUGGGCACGGAGCAGGCCCAGCAGUGCAGUGAGGGCCCUGGCAGAAGGUGCUCGAAGCCAAGUGAGCAGAAGAUGGGGCAAGGUGACACUGAGUAGGCGGGCAGGACAGGCCGACGCGCCCUCCGUGUGACGUCAGCCUGGGGGCCGCCGCCUGCUCCGAGGCUUCUACCAACGUCUGACAAGAAGGUAGACGCUCCCGUGGCCUGGAUUUGGCCGCUCUGAGCCAGCAUGUCCUCAAGGUUCCUGGGCGCUCUUCCUGGGUGCUCCUCCGGCCCCCUACCUGCUCUCAUCUUUCUGGACUCAGGGUCUAGCUUCCUUUUUGUAUCUCCAGAUCUGCACACGCAGAGCCCAGCCGAGGACGGAUCCCUUUGUCUGGUGGGGAUACAGACUGGGGUCAGUUCAGUGGGCCUUGCGCUGAUGAGCAUGUCUCCAGGGAGGAGCAGCCUUCUACUUCCUGAUGUAGAGAAGUAAUUUGUCACUUAAACACUGAGCACCUGUGCAGCAGGAACUGUUCAAGGAUUCGGGAAAGCAGGGACUGGUUCUAUCCAUCAGAAGUUCUCUAGGAAAAAUCAUUCCAUUCACAAUUGCUAUAAAAGUAACAACCUCUAGGACUACAUAUUUUAAAAAAAGCUCUGCUGAACACAGCAGUGUGCGUGUGCCGUGUUGUUGGGUGUAUUCAAAAGUUGCCAGCCGCCACCACGCCGUGAUUCCAGGACACUUCUGUCAUCCCCAAAAGAAAGUGUGCGCCAUGGGCGGCCACCCCGGACCCUAUCUGAUGCCCUCAGCCCUUCCCACACACUUAGCUACUUCCUGUCGUAACAGAGUCCUCACUGGAGAUCGGAUCUGCUGGCACCCUGAUUAUGGGCUUCUGCCUCCAGAGCUGAGAGAAAAUAAAAGUCUAUUGCUUUA